ensembl:misc_RNA Metazoa_SRP Metazoan signal recognition particle RNA
GCCGGGCAUACUGGUGGAUGCCUGUAAUCCCAGCUACUUGGGAGGCUGAGGCAGGAGAAUCACUUGAACCCAGGAGGUGGAGGUUGCAGUGAGCAAAGGUCAUGCCACUGCACUCUUGCCUGGGCAGCAAAGUGAGACUCUGUCUCAA